rnacentral:rRNA from 1 species
CGCCCAAUAGCUAGCUCACCCCUACAAAACCAAUAUUACCCUAUUAAUAACCCCUAAUACACUUAGACUCAUAAACAAACCAUUUUUCCUCCUUAGUACGGGCGACGGAAAAGGAACCUGAAGCAAUAGAGAAAGUACCGCAAGGGAAAGCUGAAAGAGGAAUGAAACAACCCAGUAAAGCACUAAAAAGCAGAGACACAACCUCGUACCUUUUGCAUCAUGAUUUAGCCAGCACCCCUUAAGCAAAGAGAAUUUUAGUUUAAUACCCCGAAACUAGGUGAGCUACUCCAAGACAGCCUAAUCAAUAGGGCGCCCCCGUCUCUGUGGCAAAAGAGUGGGAAGAGCUUUGAGUAGAGGUGACAGACCUACCGAACCUAGUAAUAGCUGGUUGCCUGGGAAUUGGAUAGAAGUUCAGCCUCAUAAGUUCUUCCCUCGCCCUGUCCAACCGGCCUAUUCCUGAGACCAGAAGAAAUUUUGAGAGUUAGUCAAAGGGGGUACAGCCCCUUUGAAACAAGACACAACUUUUCCAGGAGGAUAAAGAUCAUAAUAAUUUUAAGGCAAAAUGCUAUGGUGGGCCUAAAAGCAGCCAUCCUAAUAGAAAGCGUUAAAGCUCAAGCAUUAAUUAACCCCUACAAUACUGAUAAUAGAUCUAAAACCCCUAAACUUACCAGGCCGCUCCAUGCCCCCAUGGAAGCGACCAUGCUAAUAUGAGUAAUAAGAGAGCCCAAACUCUCUCCCUGCACAUGUGUAAAUCGGAACGGACCCCCCACCGAACCUUAACGGUCCCAAACAAAGAGG